AGGCUGCGAGGCGGACGCGCCCGGCGGCUGCGCCCGGCGGCUGCCGCUGCGCAUGCGUGUGUGGUGUCGGGCGUUGGUGGAUACUGGUGCUCUUGGGUUUUUGGACUCAGACUGCCAUUGUUCACCUGAUUCUCAGACCUUUGGACUUGGACUGAAUUACAUUUCCCACUCUCCUGGUCACGGGACAUGUUGGCCUAUAUAAUCAAAGGCAGAAACCAUUUGCUUCACAGUCUUGUCGAGGGGACAGUGCCUACAGCAAGCCUGGGGGGAGGUCAGCGUGGAGCUCAACUCUGAGGUAACAACAGAUAAUUCCCAUCGUUGGAGUAAUGCCCUCAUGGAAAAAGGAAACUGGUUCCAGAGAAGUGUCCAUCUCUGACGGCAUAA